rnacentral:misc_RNA from 1 species
CCGCAAUAUAGCCAGCCAGCCAGCCAGCAAGCAUUCACUGCUUCGUUCAAGACUUGGCGGCCUCUCUCUCUCUCUAUAUAUGAUUUAUUGAUUUGUACAUUUCUUAUUAUCAACUUGGUUAUCAUGAUUCAAUUAUUUUAUUUCUUCUUCAAUUGGAAUCUUUCAAUCAAUUUCUUCUACAUCUGUUCUUUUCUUGCAAAAGUUGCAGUUUGGGAUCCAAUUAAAGAGCUUGAGCCUUGAGGGGUAAAAGAGGAGGCUGGUUCGUAUAAGUUCACAGGCAGAAUUCUCUGUUUAUCGCUGGAAACGCUUUUGAUAUAAUGAUCUCUAAUCAGAAAUGGAAGUGUUCAUGGUCUCUGACAGCUUCAAUUGCUUCUGUAGUGGCAUUGAUUUCGAUAGUUCAUCUUUUUUUGUUUCCUGUGGUGCCUUCCUUUGAUUACUUCAGUGUCCGGCAAGUUCAGAGUUCUUGUACUCCUAUUAAUGGAUCAGAUGGAGGAAGGAAUGAUCAUGAUUCGGAAAAUUUACAACCCAGUUUUGCUUUAGACCUUAGGUUUCCAGCUGACUCACAUAGGGCUGUGGUUUAUCGCAAUGCACCAUGGAAGGCUGAGAUUGGGCAGUGGCUUUCUGGUUGUGAUUCAAUUACUAAAGAAGUCAACAUUACAGAGAUAAUAGGUGGUACAAGCUGCAAAAAUGACUGUAGUGGUCAAGGUGUUUGUAACCAUGAAUUCGGGAAAUGCCGAUGCUUUCAUGGAUUUAGUGGAGAAGGAUGCUCUGAGAGAUUGCACUUGGAAUGUAACCAUCCCAAAACACCAGAGCUACCAUAUGGGCGGUGGGUUGUCUCUAUUUGCCCUGCUUAUUGUGACACAACAAAGGCAAUGUGUUUCUGUGGAGAAGGGACAAAAUAUCCUAAUCGUCCUGUUGCAGAGGCUUGUGGGUUUCAAAUAAACUCACCUUCUGAACCUGGUUCUCCCAAAUUGACUGACUGGGCAAAACAUGAUCUGGACAAUAUUUUUACAACAAAUGGAAGCAAACCAGGAUGGUGUAAUGUGGACCCAGGGGAAGCAUAUGCUUCCAAGGUGAAAUUCAAAGAGGAAUGUGACUGCAAAUAUGAUUGUCUUUUUGGGCGGUUCUGUGAAGUGCCUGUGCAAUGUGUUUGUAUUAAUCAAUGCUCUGGACAUGGACAUUGCCGUGGUGGAUUUUGUCAGUGUGACAAUGGCUGGUAUGGAGCUGACUGCAGUAUUCCAUCUGUUUUAUCAUCAGUAAAUGAGUGGCCUAAAUGGCUUAGACCUGCUCAGCUUGAUGUUCCUGAUAAUGCACACCUCACCCGUAAACUUGUCAAUCUCAAUGCUGUGGUCAAGAAGAAAAGGCCUCUUAUAUACGUUUAUGAUUUACCACCUGAGUUCAACAGUUUACUUCUUGAGGGGCGACAUUUUAAGUUCGAAUGCGUAAACAGAAUCUAUGAUGAAAAGAAUGCAACAUAUUGGACUGAUCAGUUGUACGGUGCACAGAUGGCACUCUAUGAAAGUAUUUUAGCUAGUCCAUGCCGAACAUUAAAUGGUGAAGAAGCUGACUUUUUCUUUGUUCCUGUUCUUGAUUCAUGCAUCAUAACGCGUGCAGAUGAUGCACCCCACUUGACUAUGCAGGAACAUUUGGGUUUGAGGAGUUCUCUCACUUUGGAAUAUUACAGGAAGGCACAUGAUCACAUUGUCGAGCAUCAUCCAUAUUGGAACCGCUCAUCAGGAAGGGACCAUAUUUGGUUCUUUUCAUGGGAUGAAGGUGCUUGCUAUGCCCCUAAGGAGAUAUGGAACAGCAUGAUGUUGGUUCAUUGGGGUAAUACAAAUUCAAAGCAUAACCAUUCUACAACAGCCUAUUGGGCAGAUAACUGGGAUAAUAUUUCUUCUGACAAAAGAGGCAAGCAUCCAUGCUUUGAUCCUGAUAAAGAUCUUGUGCUUCCUGCUUGGAAACGCCCUGAUAUCAGUGCUUUGAGCUCCAAACUUUGGGCUAGGCCCCUUGAUGAGCGGAAGACAUUAUUCUACUUCAAUGGAAAUCUUGGACCGGCAUAUCCAAAUGGAAGACCAGAAGCUUCGUAUAGCAUGGGAAUCAGACAGAAACUAGCAGAAGAGUUUGGAUCAAGCCCUAACAAGCAUGGAAAGCUUGGGAAACAGCAUGCAGAAGAUGUAAUUGUGACCCCGGAGCGCACUGAAAACUAUCAUGGGGAAUUAGCCAGUUCUGUUUUUUGUGGAGUACUACCUGGAGAUGGUUGGAGUGGUCGAAUGGAAGAUAGUAUUUUGCAAGGAUGCAUUCCUGUGGUCAUUCAGGAUGGGAUUUUCCUGCCAUAUGAGAAUGUGUUGAACUAUGAGAGCUUUGCUGUUAGAAUUCAUGAAGAUGAAAUUCCAAAUUUGAUAAAGAUUCUUCGGGGAUUCAAUGAUACAGAAAAAGAAUUCAAGUUAGCAAAUGUACAGAAAAUUUGGCAGCGGUUUUUGUACAGUGAUAAUGUGUUGCUUGAAGCUGAAAGACAAAAAGCAGCUUUUGGCCGUUCUGAUGAUUGGGCAGUUGAAUUCUUACAAUUGGUUGAAGAUGAUGUCUUCACCACAUUUGUACAGGUUCUGCACUACAAGCUGCACAACGACCCUUGGAGGAGACAACUCAGUCAUCUAAAGAAGGAUUUUGGGUUACCACAAGAAUGCUUAAGAACCAACUGAAGAGAUAAUAAGCAAAUCUGGAAAGAUUGCUGCAGCUGAUGGGUUCCUGAAGUGAAAAAGAGCACAAAUGACAAACUUUUCUGAAAAGGGUAUUGCUCUUAAAGCUACAACUUCCCCUUGUGCUUUCUUCCCCACCCCACCCCACCCCCUCCCCCGCGCGCCUAUCAGAUCAUAUACAGGUAGAAAAAGUUCAAAGCUCUCACCUAGAAAAAAAAAAAAAAAAAA